UGGGGAAUAUUGGACAAUGGGGGAAACCCUGAUCCAGCGACGCCGCGUGGGUGAUGAAGGCCUUCGGGUCGUAAAGCCCUGUCUGGGGGGAAGAAACUCUUGCCGGUAAACAAUCGGCGAGAUUGACGGUACCCCCGAAGGAAGCACCGGCUAACUCCGUGCCAGCAGCCGCGGUAAGACGGAGGGUGCUAGCGUUGCUCGGAAUUACUGGGCGUAAAGGGCGCGUAGGCGGUUUGCUAAGUCCGGUGUGAAAGCCCCCGGCUCACCCGGGGAAGUGCGCCGGAAACUGGCAGACUAGAGUACCGGAGAGGAGGGUGGAAUUCCUGGUGUAGCGGUGAAAUGCGUAGAUAUCAGGAGGAACACCGGUGGCGAAGGCGGCCCUCUGGACGAGUACUGACGCUGAGGCGCGACAGCGUGGGGAUCAAACAG
rnacentral:rRNA from 1 species